GGAAUUGACCGGGGACCUCGCACCAAGCCGCUGGAGACAUGUGCGUUUAAUUUCGAAGCAUACGCCGAAGAACCCUUACCCAAGUCUGUGACAUCCCUUUGACCACCUCUAGAGAUACGGGCUUUCCCCUUCCGGGGACCAAAGUGACAGGGUGGUGCAUGCGUUGUCGUACAGCUUCGUGUUCGUGAGAUGUCUGGGUUAAGUCCCCGCAAUCGAGCUGCAACCCCUAUUAUUUAGUUGCCCAGCAUUACAGUUGGGCACUCCUAAUGAGACUGUCCGGUGACAAAUCCGGAGGAAGGUGGGGAUGACGUCAAAUCAGCAUGCCCCUUAUGACUUGGGCUACACACGUGCUACAAUGGAUGGUACAACGAGUCGCAAACCCGCGAGGGCAAGCAAAUCUCUUAAAGCCAUUCUCAGUUCGGAUUGCAGG
rnacentral:rRNA from 1 species